UCCCUGGGAAGAAGCUGCCACAGGCACGGGGACCGUGGGGGACACUUUUAUUGUCAGGGCCACAGGGCCUCCAGGGGACACUGGGGACAUUGGGGACACGGGGGCUGUGGGGCCACCCCCUGUCUGUCCCUCGGCUGAGGAUGUGGGGGACGUUGGGGACAGCAGGGGCCAGUCCCCCAUGUUGGGGACAUUGGGGUACAUGGUGGGGCUCGGUCCUUGAGCUGGGACGAUGACAAUGUCCUCCAUCCUUUGGGGACAUCAGUGACAUUGGGGACAUCAGGGCGUGGGGGUCUCAGUCCUUUGACCCGGGGUGGUGACGAUGUCCCACAUCCUUCAGGGACAUCGGUGACACUGGGGACGUUAGGUCACAAGUCUCAGUCCGUGGGGUUGGGGACAUUGGAGACAUUGGGUGUCUCAGUCUCUUUGAUCCAGGGUGACGAUGAGCAGGUCCCUCGUCCCUUGGGGACAUUGGGGACAUCAGGCCAUGAGUUGUCUCGGUCCCUCCAGCUGAGGCGGUCACGAGGUGCCCACGUCCCUCGGGGACAUUGGGGACGUCAGGCUGGGUCAUCUCAGUCCAUUCAGGUGGCGUUCCGCUGGGGACACGUUGGGGACGUCUCGGUCCCAGGGGUCACAGCGGUGAUGAGGUGCCCGUGUCCCUCAGGGACGUUGGGGACAUUGAGGAUGACACCCACAGGGGCGGGGAGGGGACCACAAUUUUGGGGGCGACUCUGCCAAAAAUGCAGACCCCGAGGUGGGGGGGUGAGGGGUGACAGGGACGAGGUGGGUGACAAGGGACAAGGACACUCGGGGGGGGCAAGGGGGGGCCACAGGCUCCUACAGGUGGGUCCAAGCCCCCACCCAGCGACCCAAAAAAAUUUUGGCGACAAGGGACAAUCCCCAAAUUUGGGUCGUGGCGUGGGGGGGGGCAGGGACGGGGGGGAGGGAGGGGACCCGAGGGACGGUCCCCAAGCGUCCGGGCUGGGGGAGGGGGGGCCACCAGCCCCCCCCCAAUUACCUUAGAGACUCGUUACGAGUUAAAUUAGCACGAGCGGCCCCGGGGGGGCGGCGGGGGGCGGCCGGGCCGGGGGGCGCUGGCUCCGGGCCGGGGUGACAAUGACAAUAUGCCAUACUGGGGGCAAGUCGCGUCACAGUCUUAGUUCAGAACGACGGGGCGCGCUGGCUUCCGGCUGCGGGAGAGGGGACAGGGGGAACACGUUAGGGACACUCGGAUCGACCUGAAAAACCACCCCAAAAAUCCCCAGAGUCCCCGUUGUCGCCCUAUCCCAAAUCCUCCGGGGGACCGCGGGGUCCGGGAUUGUGUCACCUCCUCCCAAAGGGACAGAGGGGUCCGGGAUUGUCCCCAGAAAAGGGACCCAGGGGUGUGUCUGGGACCACCCCCCACCCAUCCGGGCCCCCCCUUCUUCAUCCCCAACCCCCCUGGGGACCCCGGGCACCCCCCUA
rnacentral:lncRNA from 1 species